rnacentral:rRNA from 1 species
CCUACGGGAGGCAGCAGUAGGGAAUCUUCGGCAAUGGACGGAAGUCUGACCGAGCAACGCCGCGUGAGUGAAGAAGGUUUUCGGAUCGUAAAGCUCUGUUGUAAGAGAAGAACGAGUGUGAGAGUGGAAAGUUCACACUGUGACGGUAUCUUACCAGAAAGGGACGGCUAACUACGUGCCAGCAGCCGCGGUAAUACGUAGGUCCCGAGCGUUGUCCGGAUUUAUUGGGCGUAAAGCGAGCGCAGGCGGUUAGAUAAGUCUGAAGUUAAAGGCUGUGGCUUAACCAUAGUAUGCUUUGGAAACUGUUUAACUUGAGUGCAAGAGGGGAGAGUGGAAUUCCAUGUGUAGCGGUGAAAUGCGUAGAUAUAUGGAGGAACACCGGUGGCGAAAGCGGCUCUCUGGCUUGUAACUGACGCUGAGGUUCGAAAGCGUGGGGAGCAAGCAGGAUUAGAUACCCUGGUAGUCCACGCCGUAAACGAUGAGUGCUAGGUGUUAGACCCUUUCCGGGGUUUAGUGCCGUAGCUAACGCAUUAAGCACUCCGCCUGGGGAGUACGACCGCAAGGUUGAAACUCAAAGGAAUUGACGG